rnacentral:rRNA from 1 species
UACGGAGGAUGCGAGCGUUAUCCGGAUUUAUUGGGUUUAAAGGGUGCGUAGGCGGGAUGCCAAGUCAGCGGUAAAAAUGCGGUGCUCAACGCCGUCGAGCCGCUGAAACAGGCGUUCUUGAGUGGGCGAGAAGUAUGCGGAAUGCGUGGUGUAGCGGUGAAAUGCAUAGAUAUCACGCAGAACUCCGAUUGCGAAGGCAGCAUACCGGCGCCCUACUGACGCUGAGGCACGAAAGCGUGGGUAUCGAACAGG